rnacentral:lncRNA from 1 species
GGGCUGGAGGACGCCGCGAGGCCGGCGGCGAGGGCGGCGGGCACAAUGGAGGGACGAGGCCCGCCCGGCCGCUCGUUCGCCCGCCCGCCCGCGCCCGCACUCGCACUCCCAGCAAAGUUUCCGUUCCGCGGAGCCCGCACCCCCCUACCCCGCCCGGUACCAGGGCCCCGCGCCCCGCGCCCUCCGCCCGGGACUCUAGUCGGGACCCCAGAGCCACCGCUGCGUCGCAGCCGCACAACAAAGAGCCACACCGGGCGGCGCGGAAAGUCUAGGGAGUUGGAGUGGAGGUGAGAUCCGUGAUCGCGAAAGCCCUGGCUCCCUCCGUCCCCGUCUUCCGCCGCUCGCUCUCUGAUUAGUUCCUAUCCAGCAGCAGAUUGAAGCAGGAGAUGAUUCUUCUCAAGGUUUGUUCAGCAGCUUCACUUCUAGGCGAAGGCUUCAUGAACCAAGUGACGUCAACCAACAAGGCUUCUCUCUCUCUCCUCUCUCUAACAAUGAAAGUUGCUGUUAACA